AUGCUUUAUGAGUGACAGUGACGAGUCUUUCAGUGCUUGAAGAAACUAGCUCUGAUGACUCCUCACCCGCUAAUAAGAAAUGAAGCUGUCAAUUCCAAUUUAAGAUGCCUACAGUAAGCAGUAAGACAGAAGUGAAAACUGCAAUGGAGGUAUGUAGAGACUCAUUAUUGCUAAUUUGUAGGUAUUGUUUGAUUAGCACUUUGAAUGCUUAAAAAGCACUUCCAAAUUGCCAAGGGAGAUAAGGAUUAUGUACUACUGCCAUUUUUAUAAAUUUUACGAGGUGUUGAUGAAAAUAAUCAAAAUGGAGUAGGCUCAAGCAUUUACCGAAAUCUGCAAGUAUAAAUCUUUCUGUUGUGUUCGCAGAGCUAAAAACAAUUAGCAGGAAUAGGUGUAAUUACUUUUUUAAAUCCCAUCAGAUAUCAGUUAUGUUUCUCUUGAAGUGUGAAAGUAUGUAGCUUUUCAUUUCGGGUAACCUAAGACCUGAGAACUAUGGACUGAAUAGCAGUUGCAAACACAAGGCAUUUCCUUGAAAGUAAGCAGCCAAAAAAAAGAAACUUGGAGGGCUAAUAGGAAAUAGAAUAAUGGAUGUACAGUGUACUGUUCUCUUGAUAGAUAGAAUAGAUGUUGCAGAUCACCAGUUUACACUUAUAUCUAAUAGGAAAUAGAAAAUAGAAAAAAUUAGACAUUCUUUGUAGUAGCUUAGCUAGCUAUGUUCUAAGGGUUCGCACAACGAUAAAUCAUAAAUCAAUUGAAGAAGGAUAUGGACGCGUGUCAAGUUCUCAUUAUCCAACGUCCAUUGCUUUCACACAUAUUGAUAUGUGGUGAUAGUUUCAUCACUUGGCUAUGAAUAAUAUCAACAGUGAGACAAUAAACCCUAUGAAUAAUGUAAAGGAGAAUGGAUCACAUGGUUUUAUACUGGUUAAUUUUAAGUAGUCAAGUGAAUCUUACUUAUUUCUUAAUAAAAAGCUUUGAAGAAAUUUUCUAUUGUUAUUGACAGGAGAGUAGUAUCUAACGUUCGUUGACUCUUGUUACGCUUCAGCGAUAAGGUUAAUUAGCCUACGAUUUAUUAGUAGCUUUGUGUUUUUCUUUAUGUGCUGAGAAAAUAGGCUCUUUACGAUUAAAAAUUGCCACCUGUCUUUAUACGCGAUUAAAUGUAGAGAGCAAACUAGCCUAACAGUUUUGUAUUUUUUAUGAAUCUAAAUUUUAAAAAUGUGGAAAAAUAUGUUUAUAUGCCAUUUUUAUGAGUGUUGUCGUGCAAGGCCCUUUCAAAACAGAAAGGGACCAAGUACAUAUUUUGCCACUGAAUUUGUUGUACCAUUUAUAACUUUUUUCUCUUCUUGUUCAGGGAUCCUGUAAUUUUUCUUGUAAGAAAAAGCUGUUUGCUUUGAAAGCAUAAUCCAUAGAAGAAAGUGUGACAUCCAAAUAAUAUCUUCUUCUAAUCAGAUUGUAAUUCUUCAUAUUUAUUAAUAUACUUCAUUCAGCAGUUUAAAGGAACAGAAAAUGGAAACCAAAGCAAUUGUAACUAUUUCGGAAAUUUAAAAAACUCCAGCAAAAGCUAAUUCAAAUUCAUUGCUUUGUCAACUAAAAAUCCAACUCAGAUUAAAAAAAAGGCAACAUAGACAAAGAAUUUUAAAGCAAAAAGCUGAAAAACAUCUUAACUAGUUGAAAAGCUAUGGUGCAGGGACGGUAGGAAAUGAACUUGCUAUUGGGUUCUUCACAGCGAUGCUCUUCCGAUUGCAGCCGUUGAGGGAUAGUUUUUUGGUGAGAUUGAUGAUGGAUGUUGCAUCUCCAGUUUUCUUGGUCCUCCUCAACUCUUCUUCCACUUCUCUGUCUCCUGCUUUUGAUUGCUUCUGCAUCAAGUGAUUAUAACCUCAAUGUCAAAACUAUGAAGAAAUUAUAAGAUUAUAUUUGCUUUGGGGAUGAGUACACGAGAGGAAGGCAUAUUUCAGGAAGUUCCAAACCACAAAUUUGUAAUGACACAGAGAGAGAUUGAGAGAACUCACAG
rnacentral:lncRNA from 1 species